UGCAGCGAAAAGCUUCAUGCCUAACGGCCCUUUCUGAAUAAAAUUAGCCACCCCUGUGCUAAUCAAUACUUUGCAGUCUGAGAAUUGUCCCUACUGCUCACUAGACAGUCACCGUACUUAUGACCAGAGACCCACACAACAAAAACUUCACAUUAUAUGUGAUCGUACGUAGAGCUAAAUUAUUCCUUAUUAUGUAUUAAAGAUUAUUACAUUUCUUACUUAUACUGUGACUAUACCCUUAUUAGACUGCAUUUUCCACCAUCGCUGACAUAUUUACCCGGAACUACGCUUCUAACUACAGCUCGCGAGCUCUAAUUCGAACUACGCAACUUAACAACAGUGUUUGCGAACGUUCGUUCGAACUAUGGCUUUGGGAAACACCUGCGUCGUUUAACGAUGCAUCGUACUACCUCCCUAAAGCCUGCUGGAUACACCCCCGAGCUGCAGUUCACCGCCUGCUUCCCCUGGAGAGUCUCCAUGUGCUGCCAUGAUGAGCUCGGUGACUCAGAUGGGGGGGGGGGGCGGGGGUCUCUCUGCCUGAUGUGCAUUGCACCUGCCAGCAGGAUGAGAGGAGAGGCAGAGUGAGUCAGGAGGCCGGCACAUGUUCCCAGCCAUGCACACUGUACCUCUGAGGAGAAGCUCGGUCUUCCUGGGUUCACCUGCACUGUUACGGUUGGGUGUGCAGUUCCUCUGUGCAUUCACAAACAAUCACAUGUGCAUUGUGCCUCCCAAUUACACCCUGUCUUUAAUUAGCAGUUGUAUGUGUAGCAUUUGAAUCCUGUUCUGUGUGCACUGAUUGUACAUGCUCUUCUAACCAAAAUCUUAAAAUUGCCCAUUCUGUAUGGCUGUGUGUGCUUGCGCUGCUCAGACUGGCCCUCUCUUGCUUGGACUAGACUCUUAGCCCAAAACCUUGAGCAGGAUAAGCAGAUGUAGGAUGGGUGGAUUGUGGCCUGUCCUUUGAUUGCUUUAAGCACAUAAUAAGAGUCAUAAGCUAACUUGAUACCCCCAAGAAAUGGCCCACGGUAAAGCUGGGUCUUCUUUGAACCGACUUUGCCCAUUUAAUAACUCAGCUCAGGUUCACAAAAAAACACAAAACGUGCAUUUCACAUAAUACCCAUAGACUCUCAUUCAGAAACUCAAAUUUCAUUGACCUGUUAUGAAUUGUAGGUGAACAUAUUUAUAAACAAAUUUCUUUGGC